ACUAUUUUGACAGAAAAAUGUGUUGAAUUUAGAUUUCAUUAAUGUAGUUAAUCCUACAAAUAGUU
rnacentral:tRNA from 1 species